UGCCGAUUCAUCUAAUGGUAGGAUGCUUCCCUCUGGAGGAAGUCAUUGGGGUUCGAGUCCCUGAUCGGCAGCCA
rnacentral:tRNA from 1 species